rnacentral:rRNA from 1 species
AACGUACGCUGGCGGCACGCCUAACACAUGCAAGUCGAACGAAGUAGCAAUACUUAGUGGCAGACGGGUGAGUAACAUGUGGGUAUCUGCCCUUUGGCCUGGAAUAACACGAGGAAACUUGUGCUAAUACCGGAUAAGUCUUUACGGAGAAAGCUUUAUGCACCAUUGGAUGAGCCCGCACUUGAUUAGUUAGUUGGUAGGGUAAUGGCCUACCAAGACUGUGAUCAAUAGCUGAUUUGAGAGGAUGAUCAGCCACAUUGGGACUGAGACGCGGCCCAGACUCCUACGGGAGGCAGCAGUGGGGAAUUUUCCGCAAUGGGCGAAAGCCUGACGGAGCAACGCCGCGUGCGGGAGGAAGGUUUUAGGACUGUAAACCGCUUUUCUCAGGGAAGAAGUACUGACGGUACCUGAGGAAUAAGCAUCGGCUAAUUCCGUGCCAGCAGCCGCGGUAAUACGGGAGAUGCAAGCGUUAUCCGGAAUUAUUGGGCGUAAAGCGUUCGUAGGCGGCUAAUCAAGUCUGCUGUUAAAUACCGCAGCUUAACUGCGGAAUGGCAGUGGAAACUGAAGAGCUAGAGUGUGGUAGGGGUAAGGGGAAUUCCCAGUGUAGCGGUGAAAUGCGUAGAUAUUGGGAAGAACACCAGCGGCGAAAGCGCCUUACUGGGCCACAACUGACGCUGAGGGACGAAAGCUAGGGGAGCGAAAGGGAUUAGAUACCCCUGUAGUCCUAGCCGUAAACGAUGGACACUAGGUGUUGUCUGUAUCGACCCGGACAGUGCCGUAGCUAACGCGUUAAGUGUCCCGCCUGGGGAGUACGCACGCAAGUGUG